rnacentral:rRNA from 1 species
ACUAAAUAGAUACCAGGUAGUCCACGCUGUAAACGAUGAGUGCUAGAUGCCGGAUUUUUUCGGUGUCGCAGCUAAACGCAUUAAGCACUCCACCUGGGAAGUACGAUCGCAAGGUUGAUACUCAAAGGAAUUGACGGGGGCCCGCACAAGCAGUGGAGCAUGUGGUUUAAUUCGAUGCAACGCGAAGAACCUUACCUAGGCUUGAAAAGCUUAUGACCGGCUGUGAAAGCAGCUUUCCCGCAAGGGCAUAAGUACAGGUGCUGCAUGGCUGUCGUCAGCUCGUGCCGUGAGGUGUUGGGUUAAGUCCCGCAACGAGCGCAACCCUUACCAUUAGUUGCCACCGGAGCAAUCCGAGCACUCUAAUGGAACUGCCUACGCAAGUAGUGAGGAAGGUGAGGAUGACGUCAAGUCCGCAUGGCCCUUACGCCUAGGGCUACACACGUGCUACAAUGGCCGCCACAACGGGCAGCAAAAUCGCGAGAUGGAGCGAAUCCCUAAAAAGCGGCCUCAGUUCGGA